rnacentral:rRNA from 1 species
UACAGAGGGUGCAAGCGUUGUUCGGAAUUAUUGGGCGUAAAGGGAGUGUAGGCGGCUUGUUAAGUCUUCUGUGAAAUCUACGGGCUCAGCCUGUAACGUGCAGAGGAAACUGGCAAGCUUGAGUGUCGGAGAGGAUAGGGGAAUACCCGGUGUAGAGGUGAAAUUCGUAGAGAUCGGGUGGAACACCAGUGGCGAAGGCGCCUGUCUGGCUGACAACUGACGCUGAGACUCGAAAGCAUGGGGAGCAAACAGG